AGUAGUCUUUGUAAAACCUGUUGCUUUUCUAGAAUUCCUUUUAUAGUUGGGAUGUUGGGUUAGGAAAUAUCUUUUUACCUUUUCUUUGUGUUAAGUUUAUGGUUUCAGAACCAUCUUUUUCACCUCAUAAAUAAGUUACGCCAACUCUAGUUAUCACGAUCAUAGACCUGAGGGGAUUUUGUACAAUAUGAUCGACUCACUCAUGUUUAUAGGUGUAGAAGUUUGAGGCCACAGAGGUGAAGUGAUUUGCCCAGAGUCGCACAUGUCAUUAAUGGUAGGGCUAGAAUUAGAACCUGGGUCACUGGUGUGGUACUUUUUCUGCUGUGCUGUGCCACCUUCUGAAAAUGUUUUGUCCGGUAUUUAUUGUAUACCUACUAUGUGUCUGCCAUUCAUUUCUCUUGCAAAGGAAAUGUACCAAAAUGGCUGCUAGAGUACCAUGUUGUUCUGUAAAUACUCACCAUCACUUUCCACUGAGCAUAGAGACUGUGUAAUCUGUAUUUUCCAUUAAAAAUUUUGCAUUUUAAAUUUAUAGAUUAAUAUACAUUAUCUAAUUUGAUAUUUACAACAAUUCUGUGAACUGGUUGGAGCAGUUAUCGCUCUUGUGGAUAAAGAAGUAAAAAUGCAAGAAGAGUUAAAUAGUUAUCUAAGGCAUAUGGCUGCAUUUGGCUGUAUUAGUGUCCGGUGACAAAGUUAGGACUAAAAGUCAGGUUUUUUAACAUUAGGGCUCGUACUGUUGAUGCUACCUUGUCAUUUUUUUCCUGUGUUCUAUCAUUCCACGUGAGAUGUUCUCCGAGGAAGUAUUAAAUACAGUAUAUAUGCAUCGCCCAAGGAUUCUUUUGUGUGGAUACCCCUCAAGAGGUGGCAACAUGUGGUGAGAGGAAGGUAUAGCAGAUAGUAAAGAAGUGGUAUUAGUGAGAUUGGGCCCAUGAAGUAUUUGCUUUUCCAGUUUUUAUAUGGGAGGUACCUUAGUAUAAUAGAAAGAGUACUGGACCCAGGGAUUUGAGUUCUAUUGCUGGUUCUGCUACCAACUUGCUGUGUGACCUGGGGUGAGUCUUAAUUUCUCCGGGCCUCAUUUUCUUUGUAAAAAGAGCAUAGCACCUUCCCAGUACACGUUAUGAGGUUGUUUUAAGGCUUGAUAAGGUAUACAAAACAUGAGGUCAUAUGAUUAUCGAAGUUUCAUGAAUGUUGAUUUUUUGAGAACUAAACCACAAACCCCUGCUCAUCACAAAUGUUUUUUUUUCCCCAUUUCGGGGAAUACCUUCUGUUCACACACCAGCCCUUCGCAUGGCAAACUGAAGACCAAGGUGGUGUCUUCAUAUUAGUUUUCCACUGAAGGACAAAUAACAACUGCAUAUACCUUUGUACUCUGUAGGCCAUUAAAGCCAAAGAGGUUGACUUGGUGUCCAAGAGGCAGGGGAAGGAGGGGACUACGGACCCAGUGCAUAUGGAAUGCAAGUUGUAUAUAUGCCAGGCCUAAGGUCCAGAGGAGUGGUGUGGAGACACGUUUCCAAUUUACUCUGAAAGAAGGACUCUAAAAAUAUUACUUCAGAGAGUUGUAUCUUUUGAAGAUUAAUUUAGUAGUUUAGAGGAAAAAAUGCCAGGUGGGAAUGGUUUAGUGUAGACAACACCUGUCUUCUGAAUGACAGAUGAGUACUCCCUGACCACCAGUCGGUGGAAACAUCUGUUCUACCUUUUUCUCAGUUCAAAAGACAUUUGGAACCAUUGCCGUGAGGCUUAGCUUUUUAAAUUUAGUCCGCAAGAACAGCAGCAUCUCAGCCGGCACCGUGAAUAGCACGAUUCACUCAUGGGGGACAGACAGGCUGUAGUGGGUUAGUCUGGAAUUUUGUCCAUUGUUCAGGAAAGAACUCUAGGACUUGAUGCUGGUUUUUUUUUUUGCUGAUCAUAGUAACUAACAUUUUUGAGUAGCUGCUGUGUGCUAGUAAUUUUUCUAAGUGCUUUAUUUUUAAGUCAUUUGUGAGUAGUAAUGCAUUCACUUGUCGCUUCUUGGUACGUAAGUCCUUACUUGGGAGCAGUGAAGAGGAGAGUGGAAUUGUGAGGUAGGAGAAUGGAUUGAAAAAUACUGUCUUCAAACCUGAAGGAAACAAUGUCACUUAAAAAACCCUUAGAAUCUUGCUGUCUGCAAAAUUUUCUACUUAACUCUUAAAAUUAUUGCAGACUUUGAGCCAUGCCACUGUUGUGUAGAUAAGUGUAGGGAUGCGUGUAAAUGCCAUGCAAAGUUACGGCCAAAGAAGUGGAGGCUGACUGCAGUUCUGCUUCUUGUUGGAAAGCCUGCUCAAAGAGAGGUGUUUUUCACCACCUAAGUGGUACUUAGGGUUACCACUUUUCUUUUUCACGUACUUCUGCUUGUGAAGAUAGUCUGACCAGGUCCAAUUGCUAGUUAGCUUUGCCUUUUCUGUGUUUUUGGAAGCAGUACCACAAAUGCAUUGGUUCUUCACUGAGAUUGGUGUUCAAGGGGCUAGAGGAACGUAGCUAGGAAAGCCUAGAAAAAACUUGUGCAGAGAAGUUUCCUUUGGGUUGUAUAGCUGGGCUUGCGAAGAUAACUUUUAUGAAGAAAAGCAGGAGAGAUGCCCCUGCAGUGACGUGGGAAGAUUGUUUAGGGGACAGAGAAGAUGGCAGGUCUGAGUCUUAGGAGUGAACUAAGAAAUCAGAAGUGGCAGGCAGAGUUCAGUGAGCUCCAGAAGCACGGCCACUCACAUGGGUUACUGAAAGUGCCGUGAAACACCUGGAAAAUGUUGACGUUUCCUUCAGGCCUGGUUACAUCUGUGUGAAGAUAGUGCUGCUACUUCUAUGUAAUAGAACUAAAAGAAGGGAGUGUGUUUGGGUCAUUUAUUUGAAUCUAGUAGAACUUAGGCAAGCUGAGUUAAGCCAAACUGAGCUCCUUUUUAGGCUGUUCCUGGCCAGUUCCUAGCCAGCAUCACAUCUGGGAAGUGUUUACAUCCAUGUUUAAUCAUGAAAAGAUGGUACUUUCUUACCUCUUUCCUCUCCCUCUGGUUUUCAUUUUGUUUCUAUACCUUGGUCUCAUAUAUCACUUAAGGUCACUGCUUGUUUUGGCUUGGUUUGAAAUCCCUCCAGCUUCUGGCUUGUCAGCUCCCUGUUCCCUGCCACUCACAGAUCUCCAAGUCCACUUGAGUUUUGCAUGCUCUUCCCUUGCCACAUCCCUGACUUCUAGAAAGGCUUUACUUUUAGAAAGGCUUAAACCUGUAAUCCAGCUCUUGACCCAGAGCCUUCUUUCUGUUUUUUUUUUUUUUUUUUUUUCACUGUGACAGAACCUGCUCUUUGACCUUGUCCACAUCUCCAGUCCACCCCUUUACCUUGACAUUGUUGAUUUCCUCCAGUCAUGCUGCUUCUCCUGCUGAACCUGGACUCUGAAGUCAUCACUUUAACUGUUGUCCUGCGUGCACCAUUGUCUCUGGACCCUGUGACUUCCUGUGACUUCCUCCCCUCAUUAGCCUGUAAUGCAGCCUCCUGGCUUCUAUGCCUGAAUUGCAUGAGUGAGACAGAAUGUGGUAGCCCUGAGUAUUGGCUAGUGGACUUGGACUCUUCUGUCUUAGUGGGACAACCUGCGCCCCUGUCAGCGCCUUUUCAACCCCCCCCAGGGCUCUGGCCUCUGCCUGCGGCUUUGGGACCCUGAAAUCUCCAUCUGUGGCCUGGUGAUCCCCAUAGUUUCAGACUUACACGCCUGGAUUUCUCGGGCACUGCACAUGUCUGUACGUCGGUAACUACAAUAGGACAUUGUCCCCCCAACCUCAGCCUCAGUCGCCCAUCUCCCUUGUGUGUGUGGGAGCAAGAUCUGCCUAGUUACCAAACCAGAACAUGGGAGUCCUUCAUUUUGAACUCUUCCCUCUCCCUCCCCCACCCCCGGCCCACCCCAAUUUAACCAGCUGUGUUAUUUCUACCAUCCGUAGCAUUUGGUUGAACCAUAUGAAAUUGCUAUUUUGUAGGUCAAAAGUGGUCAGAUACCAACAAUUCAUACAGGUCCACCCACUUAAAGCUGUUCCUCCCCCUCUUCCCCUCCUCCCCCGCCCCUCACUCCCUCAGCUACUAAUACUGCUUUAGUUUAGACUCCCAUCUCUUGCCUGGCCUAUUGUAAUUGCCAUUAUCUGGGCUCCUUAUCUCCAAUAUUUUCUUCUUCUCAUCAGUCUCCUGCAUUGCUGCCAUUUUCAUUUUUGUGGUGUACCAGUCUGUUACUGGCACGUGUGUGUACACACACACACACACACACACACACACACCCUUCGUACCCUGUGUUCCAGCUACACUUCUUUCUGGCAGUUCCCCAAAUGCACCAUGCUAUUCCACACCUAUAUGCGUUUGCAUAUGGGCUUCUACUGGCGUGUUCUCUUCUUUGCCUGUCUUUCAGACUUCCACUUGGCAUCACUGCUUUUGUGAAACUCUUUAAUGUUCUCUGAGGUAAAGUUGGUUUUUGAAAUUAUUUUUUUAAUGUUUAUUUAUCUGAGAGAGUGGGAGAGGGAGAGGGAGAGAAUGAGUGGGAGAGGGACAGAGAGAGGGGGAGACAGAAUCCGAAACAGGCUCCGGGCUCCACGCUGUCGGCACAGAGCCCGACGUGGAGCUUGAACUCAUGAACUGUGCAAUCCCCAGCUGAGCUGAAGUGGGACGCUUGACUGACCGAGCCACCCAGGUGCCCCUGAGAUAAAGUUAUUAAUUCCCUUUUUGCCCCUGUAUGUCACAUAUAUCUUCUGAUGCACUGACAACUCUGUAUCGUGUUAUUUGUUUCUUUCUGUUUCCUUUAUUAGACCCGUGUCUUGAGGUCAGAGAACCACUUUGUCUUAGUUUUGUUCCUUUUUUUUUUUUUUAAGUUUAGUUUUGAGAGAGAAAGCACAAGUGAGGGAGGUGACAGAGAGAGAGGGAAAGAGAGAGAAUCCCAAGCAGGCUCCACACUGUCAGUGCACAGGCUGAUACGGGGCUUGAAACCAUGAGAUCCUGACCUGCGCCGAAAUCAAGAGUUGGACACUUAACUGACUGAGCCACACAGGCACCCCCUAGUUUUAUUCCUAAUAUGUAGCAAGAGCUGUGCACGUUUAUAGAGAGACGCAGUACGUGCUUUUGUGGUGGUGGUGGUGUGUGUGGUUUUUGUUUUGUUUUUGAGGCUGAGUACAUGUUAAAUGAUUGAAAGUCCAUUGUACCAAGGACACGUGGUUGGUUUUUUUUAUAAGAUUUUAAGAAAUCUCUUUCCUGGGGAUAGGAAGGAAAAGCAAAUAAAUGGUUUCUAUUUAUUUUUUUCUUAAUAAGGUAGCACAGCAGGAUUUAGUCCUAAAAUAAGACUGAAUUUUUAUCGUGGCUCCCUUCAUCAUAAGGAUUUUAAAUACACCAAACAACUUCGCCGUGACCUAGGUCUCUACGUGACAGAGGAGCCUGCGUAAUAGACACCCUGCUCAUGGUCUCAGAGCAUGUCAGACAUCAGGCGCUUUUGAAACGGUCUUUAAAACAGCAGAGUACCGUAUGAAUUUAAAAGAUUACUGUGACAGUGGUGGGAUAUUGUUAGGGGUCUGUAGUAGCCUGUCAGGUUGGAUUUGGAUUUCUUUUGAUCACAGUGUGCAUAUUAGAGUCAAGCCUGGUAGACCAGAAGAUCAUUAAAGGUUUUUUAUUAAGUUCUGUCCACUUGGUAGCUGCCUUGCUUUGGAUUUGAUAGUCACUGGGAGCAGGAACUAAGGGUAAUCGUUUUGAGAGGGCACCUUUCAUUUAAAAAAAAAAAAAAUUUUUUUUUUUUUAAUUUUAUUUUAAAGUAAUCUCUGCAUCCAAUGUGGGGCCGAAUCUCACAACCCCAAGAUCAAGAGUCACACGCUCUGCCGACUGAGCCAGCCAGAGAGGGCACCUUUUAAAAGGAAGUUUAAAUGUUCUAAGUCCGCAGUAGCUGCGUUUCUGUGUCAGUGAUGACAGUGGCCAUUCCUCCCAGAGGCAUCUGCUGGGCCUAUUGCUGGAGAGGAAGACUGAGAAUCAGUGGCUUCAGUUCUUCUAGCCAUUCUGCAUUAAAGCAUUGUAGUUGCCUCCUGAAUUAACUGCCAAUCAGGCAGUUCUUAGACUUCCUGGAAAAACUAAACUUUCCCCCCCCCCACCCAUAUUUAGUAAAAUAUCUUUGAAUUCCACAAGCACUCCCUCAGGUUUAUAAAACAUUUUUUUCUGAUUUUAGAAGUACCAUGUUAUAAAUAAAAACUAAACAAAUUAAAAAAAA